GUCGGAUUGGAGUGCUGGACAUGGUGCUUUCGUGGCGCUCGGAGAUGGGCCGGGAAAGAUUGAGGUGUGUCACUGGAUCUUCAACGGAGAUAUGACGUGGACGGUGCAGGAUUGAUCAACAGAAGACACGAAUAAACGGUACUUCUAUAUUUUAAUUUAUUAAUUUUCCUUUCGGUAUCUUUGGCGUUAUGUUGGUCUUGAGCAGUGAAAGAGAUGUUGGUUCCGUGGUGUGUAAUGCAGUCGUCUAUAUAAUAAGAAAUUUUCG
rnacentral:misc_RNA from 1 species